rnacentral:tRNA from 1 species
GCCUCUUUAGCUUAGGGGUAGAGCGUUGCACUUGUAUGAGUUUUCGAGAUGCAAAGGUCAGCGGUUCAAUUCCGCUAGGAGGCA